GACGAACGCUGGCGGCGUGCUUAACACAUGCAAGUCGAGCGAGUUGAUUCCCUUCGGGGAUGAAGCUAGCGGCGGACGGGUGAGUAACACGUGGGCAACCUGCCUUAUAGAGGGGGAUAGCCUUCCGAAAGGAAGAUUAAUACCGCAUAACAUCAGAUUAUCGCAUGGUAGACUGAUCAAAGGAGCAAUCCGCUAUAAGAUGGGCCCGCGUCGCAUUAGCUAGUUGGUGAGGUAACGGCUCACCAAGGCGACGAUGCGUAGCCGACCUGAGAGGGUGAUCGGCCACAUUGGGACUGAGACACGGCCCAGACUCCUACGGGAGGCAGCAGUGGGGAAUAUUGCACAAUGGGGGAAACCCUGAUGCAGCAACGCCGCGUGAGUGAUGAAGGCCUUCGGGUUGUAAAGCUCUUUGAUCAGGGACGAUAAUGACGGUACCUGAAGAACAAGCCACGGCUAACUACGUGCCAGCCGCCGCAGUAAAAC
rnacentral:rRNA from 1 species